rnacentral:rRNA from 1 species
UGGCUCAGAACGAACGCUGGCGGCAUGCCUUACACAUGCAAGUCGAACGGUAACAGGUUAAGCUGACGAGUGGCGAACGGGUGAGUAAUGUAUCGGAACGUGCCCAGUCGUGGGGGAUAACUGCUCGAAAGAGCAGCUAAUACCGCAUACGACCUGAGGGUGAAAGCGUGGGAUCGCAAGACCUCGCGCGAUUGGAGCGGCCGAUAUCAGAUUAGGUAGUUUUUUCUCUAAAGGCCCAGCAAACAAACGAUCUGUAGCUGGUCUGAGAGGACGACCAGCCAC